UGGGGAAUUUUGGACAAUGGGCGCAAGCCUGAUCCAGCCAUGCCGCGUGCGGGAAGAAGGCCUUCGGGUUGUAAACCGCUUUUGUCAGGGAAGAAAUCUUCUGAGUUAAUACCUCGGGAGGAUGACGGUACCUGAAGAAUAAGCACCGGCUAACUACGUGCCAGCAGCCGCGGUAAUACGUAGGGUGCAAGCGUUAAUCGGAAUUACUGGGCGUAAAGCGUGCGCAGGCGGUUUUGUAAGACAGAGGUGAAAUCCCCGGGCUCAACCUGGGAACUGCCUUUGUGACUGCAAGGCUUGAGUGCGGCAGAGGGGGAUGGAAUUCCGCGUGUAGCAGUGAAAUGCGUAGAUAUGCGGAGGAACACCGAUGGCGAAGGCAAUCCCCUGGGCCUGCACUGACGCUCAUGCACGAAAGCGUGGGGAGCAAACAGGAUUAGAUACCCUGGUAGUCACGCCCUAAACGAUGUCAACUGGUUGUUGGGAAGGUUCCUUCUCAGUAACGUAGCUAACGCGUGAAGUUGACCGCUGGGGAGUACGGCCGCAAGGUUGAAACUCAAAUGAAUUGAC
rnacentral:rRNA from 1 species